rnacentral:rRNA from 1 species
CGUGCUUAACACAUGCAAGUCGAACGAUGAACUCAGAGCUUGCUCUGGGGGAUUAGUGGCGAACGGGUGAGUAACACGUGAGUAACCUGCCCUGGACUCUGGGAUAAGCGUUGGAAACGACGUCUAAUACCGGAUAGGACCUCGAACCGCAUGGUUUGGGGUGGAAAGUUUUUUCGGUCUGGGAUGGACUCGCGGCCUAUCAGCUUGUUGGUGAGGUAAUGGCUCACCAAGGCGUCGACGGGUAGCCGGCCUGAGAGGGUGACCGGCCACACUGGGACUGAGACACGGCCCAGACUCCUACGGGAGGCAGCAGUGGGGAAUAUUGCACAAUGGGCGCAAGCCUGAUGCAGCAACGCCGCGUGCGGGAUGACGGCCUUCGGGUUGUAAACCGCUUUUAGUAGGGAAGAAGGGCUUCGGCUUGACGGUACCUGCAGAAAAAGGACCGGCUAACUACGUGCCAGCAGCCGCGGUAAUACGUAGGGUCCGAGCGUUGUCCGGAAUUAUUGGGCGUAAAGAGCUCGUAGGCGGUUUGUCGCGUCUGCUGUGAAAUCUGGAGGCUCAACCUCCAGCCUGCAGUGGGUACGGGCAGACUAGAGUGCGGUAGGGGAGAAUGGAAUUCCUGGUGUAGCGGUGGAAUGCGCAGAUAUCAGGAGGAACACCGAUGGCGAAGGCAGUUCUCUGGGCCGUAACUGACGCUGAGGAGCGAAAGCGUGGGGAGCGAACAGGAUUAGAUACCCUGGUAGUCCACGCCGUAAACGUUGGGCGCUAGAUGU